rnacentral:snRNA from 1 species
AUUGCUUCUCGGCCUUUUGGCUAAGAUCAAGUGUUUUUAGCAGUUUAAUAUCUGAUACGUCCUUUAUAUGAGUAUAUAUAGCAAGGCACCUAACCCCCAACUGCUCCCCGGGCAAUGUGGAUAGGGCUGCUGGCUCCGGGCAAACGUGC